rnacentral:lncRNA from 1 species
GAGGAGGCAGUGUCAUCAGGGCCCCACGCCCAACUGCCUCAGGAAGAGUCUGCACCAAGAAGGGCAGUGGACCCGCAGGCCUGGAUUCUCGGUCCUCAAGGAGACAAGAGCUGGGAGGCAUUCUAUCCUGGACUUUGGCUCUACUGGAACACCGACAGCCCCACCCCACGACACAGCCAUCUUCCCCAAACCUCUCACCCAGCCCGUCUCAGGACUGAGAGAGCCAGAGGGAGCCUGACAAGGCUGGUUCCUCACCUGAGAGACAGCAAGCCUAAGCCGUGGCCUCAGUCCCUGACCCUCUCCUUCCCCUGUGGAGCCCGGCAUGUGGGGCUACCUGUCCCUGCUCCCUGUCUUCCUGGCCUUCUGGGCUAUUGCUGGCAUCUGGACCGUGUGAGUUUUAGAGGCAGGAUGGAUGCCUGCCUCUGAAGGAGGAGGGCCUGGGUACCUGCACCCCUGGGUCUGAGGGAGGAGGGCGUGGGAGCUAGACCCCUGGGUGUGAGGGAGGAGGGGCUGGGGGUCUGGACCCCUGGGUGUGAGGGAGGAGGGGCUGGGGGUCUGGACUCCUGAGUCUGGGAAGGAGCUAGAAGUCCGGUUUCUGUGGGUAACAGAAAGAAAAGUUUCCUUCGAAAGCCCUCUAUUCACUCUGCUGUGUCCCUGACCUCAGUUUUUCGCUUGCGGUGGUCCACAAGUCAGUGAACCUCACGGAAGGCUUCCCCUAUAUCAGGUAGUUUUGCCACUGACAGCGUGGUGUGGAUGUGGGUGUUCGG